ACGGAGGGUGCAAGCGUUAAUCGGAAUUACUGGGCGUAAAGCGCACGCAGGCGGUUUGUUAAGUCAGAUGUGAAAUCCCCGGGCUCAACCUGGGAACUGCAUCUGAUACUGGCAAGCUUGAGUCUCGUAGAGGGGGGUAGAAUUCCAGGUGUAGCGGUGAAAUGCGUAGAGAUCUGGAGGAGUACCGGUGGCGAAGGCGGCCCACUGGAUUAAUUCUGACGCUGAUGUGCGAAAGCGUGGGUAGCAAACAG
rnacentral:rRNA from 1 species